rfam:Aedes albopictus isolate Foshan contig27606, whole genome shotgun sequence.
UGUUCUGUGGCUUAAUUGGUUAAAGCUUCCGUCAAAGAAGCACAAAGUCGUGGGUUCGAAUCCCCCUAGAACGC